CGCAAUCAACACAGUGGAGGCGAGAAGUCUGGCCUUGCGCCGGCCGGGGAGCUUUUCGCCAAGGCUCCUGUGGGAUGGGAUAGCUUGUUCUCUGGGCUGCAGGAACCAAAACAUUAGACCACCCUUUCUGUGACCUUGGGCAUGCCGCCCUCGGUUCCGAGCCGCAAGUCUUUCUUUCGGGGAAAAUGAAAAGGGGUCAAGAUUUGGACCAGAUGACACCCAAUGUCCCAUUCAACGGUCGCAUUCUGUCAUCCACAGGAAUUAGUCCUGUAUCCGAAACAUUCUCUGGUAGUCAAAAGCUGAGCCUGGAGACAGAUGGAGGGGAAGACAGAAGAGAGAUUAAGGAGAAGAAUGGUUUCAUUUGGAAGGACACUGACUAAGGAAAAACAGAGAAAAGGAUGAAACCCAAGCCAACUCUGCAACUCUAUUAAAAACACCAAGACUUCAAUAUGAACCUGGCAUGGUGGGCACAGUCGGGCACUGCAGGCGGCUUGCCUCCAGCAGAAGGAAUACUGCUACUCAGCUCUAGAUGAUUGCCCUGAAGAAAUUCAUGCCCACUGAAUCUCCUUAAAGGGAGGCAGUGCAUUCUUCAUGGCUAGAGCUUCAGCAGCUAUCUAGAACCAUAUGGUGGAAGCCACUUACUGAGAACUGUGAAACAAGAGCCUGGGUCCCUGACAUAUGAAGCCACCAUACCUACCUUAAAGUGUCUUUCACUUGAGGGAAAAAUACAUCUUUCUUAGAGAUUUGAAUUUUAAUGUCCCAGAAAUAUAAAGAAGAUGGCAUUAAAAUGUCCUAUAUGUUGGCAGUCCUACCCUGAAGACUUUUUUUGCUUAUCUUUUGUUCUGAGCUACAGUCUUCGCAGAGACUAAAUUAGUGACUGGACAACAGAAGAAAAUAGACCAUCCUGGCUAAAAUGGUGAAACCCCAUCUCUACUAAAAACACAAAAAAUUAGCUGGGCAUGUUAGCGGGUGCCUGUAGUCCCAGCUACUCGGGAGGCUGAGGCAAGAAAAUGGCGUGAACCUGGGAGGCGGAGCUUGCAGUGAGCUGAGAUCGCGCCACUGCACUCCAGCAUGGGGGAUAGAGCGAGACUCCGUCUCAAAAAAAAAAAAAAAAAAAAAAAAAAGAAAAUAGAAACGGGAAAUAUUCAUGUCAGCUGUUAAAAACCAGUUUUGUAAAGCAAGGCCUAAAAGUCCUAUCUCUGGCAUGUUUAGUAUGGAACGUAUAGUUGAUUGUCAUUCAGCUACUAGAGAAAGGUAUUCUACAAUGGCAGAUAGCCUUAUCAAAACAAUUAGCCGGCUUUCUCCACAGGGAAUAGCAGUGGGGUAAGUAAGACUGAAGUGAGAGCUCUUAUCAGUUUUCUCAGAAAUGAUUUCUCCAUCAUAGGUAUUUGGCCAACUGGUUAGGUCUAGCAUGAACAUGUGAUUUCUAAAACAAUGAGCUGAGAUCUGCUAACAUGUUGUAAAGGAGCAUCUAGUAGAAGCUGAUCUCUAAGCAAAAUCACCAAUUUAUUUAAGUUUCAAAAAUUUUUUUUCCAUAAAUAUGUUCUUUAAC
rnacentral:lncRNA from 1 species